rnacentral:tRNA from 3 species
CGGGGCGUAGCGCAGCCUGGUAGCGCACCGGCAUGGGGUGCCGGUGGUCGGAGGUUCAAAUCCUCUCGCCCCGACCA